rnacentral:rRNA from 1 species
GAUGAACGCUGGCGGCGUGCCUAAUACAUGCAAGUCGAGCGAACAGACGAGGAGCUUGCUCCUCUGACGUUAGCGGCGGACGGGUGAGUAACACGUGUAUAACCUACCUAUAAGACUGGGAUAACUUCGGGAAACCGGAGCUAAUACCGGAUAAUAUAUUGAACCGCAUGGUUCAAUAGUGAAAGACGGCUUUGCUGUCACUUAUAGAUGGAUCCGCGCCGCAUUAGCUAGUUGGUAAGGUAACGGCCUACCAAGGCAACGAUGCGUAGACGACCUGAGAGGGUGAUAGGCGACCUUGGAACGGGGACGCGGUCCAGACUACUGCGGGAGGCAGCAGUAGGGAAUGUUCCGCAAUGGGCGAGAGCAUGACGGAGCAGGGCCGCGUGAGUGAUGAAGGUCCUCGGAUCGUAAAACUGUGUUAUGAGGGAAGAACAAAUGUGGAAGUAAAUAUGCACGGAUUGACGGUAACUGAUAAGAAAGCCACGGCUAACUACGUG